AUAAUCAAUCAGAUGGGUUUAAUCUACCCGAGUCACCAAUCAAUCAUUGUGAGAGGUGAUUGUAGUGAUGGAAGUCAAACCUGAACCUCAUUGUUGCCACCCAUCCGUGGCAGCUAACUCCAACCUGAUUCCGAAUCAACUGUCUAAAAAGCGACUGUAUUGGCAUAAUUUCUCAAUUAAGGCCCAGAGGGAUGGGAGGGUAUUUCAGGCAUAGACUCUUAUUGC